rnacentral:rRNA from 1 species
UAGAACGACUCUCGGCAACGGAUAUCUCGGCUCUCGCAUCGAUGAAGAACGUAGCGAAAUGCGAUACGUGGUGUGAAUUGCAGAAUCCCGUGAACCAUCGAGUUUUUGAACGCAAGAAGCCUUCAGGUUGAGGGCACGUCUGCCUGGG